rnacentral:pre_miRNA from 1 species
CCAUGAUGAUGAUGAUGAUGAUGAUGAUGAUGAUGAUGAUCACGAUCAUCAUCAUCAUCACCAUCAUCAUCAUCACCAUCAUCAUCAUCAGAAUGA